rnacentral:rRNA from 1 species
AGUGAACGCUGGCGGUAGGCCUAACACAUGCAAGUCGAACGGCAGCACAGUAAGAGCUUGCUCUUACGGGUGGCGAGUGGCGGACGGGUGAGGAAUACAUCGGAAUCUACUUUUUCGUGGGGGAUAACGUAGGGAAACUUACGCUAAUACCGCAUACGACCUACGGGUGAAAGCAGGGGAUCUUCUGACCUUGCGCGAUUGAAUGAGCCGAUGUCGGAUUAGCUAGUUGGCGGGGUAAAGGCCCACCAAGGCGACGAUCCGUAGCUGGUCUGAGAGGAUGAUCAGCCACACUGGAACUGAGACACGGUCCAGACUCCUACGGGAGGCAGCAGUGGGGAAUAUUGGACAAGGGGCGAAAGCCUGAUCCAGCCAUACCGCGUGGGUGAAGAAGGCCUUCGGGUUGUAAAGCCCUUUUGUUGGGAAAGAAAAGCAGCAGGUUAAUACCCCGCUGUUCUGACGGUACCCAAAGAAUAAGCACCGGCUAACUUCGUG